rnacentral:piRNA from 1 species
UUUAAGAAACACCAGUCAGCUAUUUGAAGA